rnacentral:tRNA from 1 species
GCCCAGGUGGCGGAAUUGGUAGACGCGCAUGGUUCAGGUCCAUGUGCCUUUAUAGGUUUGGAGGUUCAAAUCCUCUUCUGGGCA